rnacentral:rRNA from 1 species
UACGUAGGGGGCUAGCGUUGUCCGGAUUUAUUGGGCGUAAAGAGCGUGUAGGCGGCCUGACAAGUCUGCUGUGAAAACUCGAGGCUCAACCUCGAGAUGUCGGCGGAAACUGUCUGGCUAGAGUCCGGAAGAGGAGAGUGGAAUUCCUGGUGUAGCGGUGAAAUGCGCAGAUAUCAGGAAGAACACCCGUGGCGAAGGCGGCUCUCUGGUACGUGACUGACGCUGAGACGCGAAAGCGUGGGGAGCAAACAGG